rnacentral:lncRNA from 1 species
UUACCAUUCUUUUUUAGUACUGGCACGAUAUUGGACAACCAUUCGACAUACCUGGCUGUUCUAAUAAAGCCUGCUUUCAAUAAUCGCUCUAUCUCUUUCUUAAUCUCAGGGAGUACAUUAGGAGCAAAAUGUCUAGGAGGCUGCCUAUGAGAUUUAAAAUUAGGCUUAGUUGGUAACCUAUGUUCCACCAAGUCUCUAUCUAAACCAGGCAUUUGUUCAUAUUCCCAAGCAAAACAAU